UGGGGAAUAUUGGACAAUGGGCGAAAGCCUGAUCCAGCCAUGCCGCGUGUGUGAAGAAGGUCUUCGGAUUGUAAAGCACUUUAAGUUGGGAGGAAGGGCAGUAAGCGAAUACCUUGCUGUUUUGACGUUACCGACAGAAUAAGCACCGGCUAACUCUGUGCCAGCAGCCGCGGUAAUACAGAGGGUGCAAGCGUUAAUCGGAAUUACUGGGCGUAAAGCGCGCGUAGGUGGUUCGUUAAGUUGAAUGUGAAAGCCCCGGGCUCAACCUGGGAACUGCAUCGAAAACUGGCGAGCUAGAGUAGGGCAGAGGGUGGGGGGAUUUACUGUGUAGCGGUGAAAUGCGUAGAGAUAGGAAGGAAAACCAGUGGCGAAGGCGACCAGCUGGGCUCAUACUGACACUGAGGUGCGAAAGCGUGGGGAGCAAACAGG
rnacentral:rRNA from 1 species